rnacentral:rRNA from 1 species
CGGAACGGCAUGGGAGGGCCGGCCGCAGCGGGUGACAGCCCCGUACGCGAACCCAGACCGGACGGCGCGACGCGGUCCCUGAGUAGGGCCGGGCACGUGAAACCCGGUCCGAACCUGGGUGGACCACCAUCCAAGCCUGAGUACUACCCUGUGACCGAUAGCGCACCAGUACCGUGAGGGAAAGGUGAAAAGCACCCCGGGAGGGGAGUGAAACAGUACCUGAAACCGUGCGCCCACGAGCAGUCGGAGCAACUUUCAGUUGUGACGGCGUGCCUUUUGUAGAAUGAGCCAGCGAGUCGCUGGCGCGGGGCGAGGUUAACCGAAAGGGAGCCGGAGCGAAAGCGAGCCUUAACAGGGCGACUUGAGUCCCGCGCCGCGGACGCGAAGCCGGGUGAGCUAUCCGUGGGCAGGCUGAAGCGGGGGUAAGACCCCGUGGAGGGCCGAACGCACGUCGGUUGAAAACGGCGGCGAUGACCUGCGGAUAGGGGUGAAAGGCCAAUCAAACCCGGAGAUAUCUCGUUCUCCCCGAAAUAGCUUUAGGGCUAGCGUCGCGCGUUCACCGCCGGAGGUAGAGCACCGGAUGGACGAGGGGGCUUCGCCGCCUACCGAAUCCAACCGAACUCCGAAUGCCGGCGGCCCAGAGCGCGGCAGUCAGAGCAUGUGGGCUAAGCUGUGUGCUCGAGAGGGAAACAGCCCGGACCGCCCGCUAAGGUCCCCAAGUUCCAGCCGAGUGGCAAAGGAUGUGCGUCCGCCCAGACAACCAGGAUGUUGGCUUAGAAGCAGCCAUCCAUUCAAAGAGUGCGUAACAGCUCACUGGUCGAGUGGACAUGCGCCGACAAUACACGGGGCUAAGCUGGACACCGAAGCGGCGGGAUUUUAAUUCAUUAGAAUCGGUAGGGGAGCUUCCCAUGGGCGGAGAAGCCGGAGGGCGACCGACGGUGGAGCGCAUGGGAGUGAGAAUGCUGGCAUGAGUAGCGAGAGACGAGAGAGUAACUCGUCCGCCGUGAACCCGAGGUUUCCUGGGCAAGGCUAAUCCUCCCAGGGUCAGUCGGGGGCUAAGGCGAGGCCGGGAGGCGUAGCCGACGCGCAGCAGGCAGACAUUCCUGCACCGCGCACGCGGCGCUACGACCGACGGGGCGACGGAUGGGGGUGGCUCGGCGGGGUUCUGGACGUCCCCGUGAUGGAGCGCGGCCCGCGGACCAGGGAAAUCCGGUCCGCAGAAGGGCGAGGCUCCGGACGAAGCGAUUGAGCGAAGCGAGUGAGCCCGAGGUCCCUAGAAAAACCCCUAGGCAGGCGCGUGCGCGCCCGUACCGCAAACCGACACAGGUGGGUGGGUAGAACAUACCGAGGCGAUCGGGUCAACCAUGGUCAAGGAACUCGGCACAAUGGCCCCGUAACUUCGGGAGAAGGGGUGCCCGCGCGUACGUGAACGGACUUGCUCCGGGAGCGGAGGCGGGCCGCAGUGGAGAGGCCCAAGCGACUGUUUACCAAAAACACAGGACUCUGCAGAAGCCGCAAGGCGACGUAUAGGGUCUGACGCCUGCCCGGUGCCGGAAGGUCACGCGGAGGAGUUAGCCGAUUCGGCGAAGCCCCGAAGCCAAGCCCCGGUAAACGGCGGCCGUAACUAUAACGGUCCUAAGGUAGCGAAAUUCCUUGUCGGGUAAGUUCCGACCUGCACGAAAGGCGCAACGACUUGGGCGCUGUCUCGACCAUGGACCCGGUGAAAUUGCACUGGUCGUGAAGAUGCGACUUACCCGCGGAAGGACGGAAAGACCCCGUGAACCUUCACUGCAGCUUGGCAUUGGCCGCUGGUCCCGCGUGUAGAGGAUAGGCAGGAGGCACAGAUC